rnacentral:rRNA from 1 species
UACAGAGGCCUCGAGCGUUAGGCGGAAUCACUGGGCUUAAAGCGUGUGUAGGCGGACUUCUAAGUACCUUGUGAAAUCCCACGGCUCACCCGUGGAACUGCUGGGUAUACUGGUCGUCUUGAGCCUUCUAGGGGCUACCGGAACAAAUGGUGGAGCGGCGAAAUGCGUAGAUAUCAUUUGGAACGCCAAUGGUGAAAACAGGUAGCUGGGGAAGUGCUGACGCUGAGACACGAAAGCCAGGGGAGCGAACGGG